CAAUAGCGUAUAUUAAAGUUGUUGCAGUUAAAAAGCUCGUAGUUGGAUUUCUGGUAGGAGUGACCGUUCCGAACUUGAUUGUUCGUGUAUUGUGUUUUCUCCAGCCAUCCUUGUGGAGACCUUUUCUUGCAUUAAUUUGUAGGGAUUGGGACCCGCAUCGUUUACUGUGAAAAAAUUAGAGUGUUUAAAGCAGGCAAUCGCUUGAAUACAUUAGCAUGGAAUAAUAAGAUAGGACUUUGGUACUAUUUUGUUGGUUUGCAUACCAAAUUAAUGAUCAACAGGAACAGUUUGAGGAUAUUCGUAUGAACAUGUCAGAGGUGAAAUUCUUGGAUUUUGAUCAGACGAACUACUGCGAAAGCAUUUAGCAAGGAUGUUUUCAUUAA
rnacentral:rRNA from 1 species